rnacentral:lncRNA from 1 species
CGCCCACUUCCGUUCCUCCACUUUCCCUUAGGAGGGAGGAGGGGACUGGGGGUGUUAAAGAGUAGCGACUUCCUCCUACUCUCCGCCCCCGCCUCUCUACCCCCUGCUACAAUGUCUUCCGGGUCGCGAUCGCCUCGGAGCCUUCUGGGAAACCAUCUCAUUUCCUCCCCUCCCCCUCCUCCUGCCUUCAACCAACCAGCCUCCCGUCAGAGAGGGACAUGCGCAGUGAGUGCCUCCCGUCUCUUCUACCCGAACCCCCCUCCCCCCCCAAGCAGAGAGACCCCAGCAGCAGCAGCAGCUGAUGAUGAAGAGAGAGGCAGUGGCAGAGGGGGGGCACCUUUUAUUUCUAUUUUUAAAGGGACAGGACACUAAUUUUACCCCACUUCAACCUUGAAUUGAGGGGGGUGGGGGGAAGGCGGCUGAGUUCCUUCCCCCACCCUCCAGCCCUGAGACCUGAGAGGGGGAUUGAGCCUGAGAGAGAAGGAGAAGGAGUUUCUUCUUCUUCGAAAACCCCCAUCCACGACUCCUACCCCCUCACCCCUCCACUAGCCUCUCUCCCGAGCCCCCUCCAUCCUCCUCCUCUUUGGCCGUGAGAGGAGAGAAAGAGACCAAAAGCCUCUUAGCAACACAGACCCUUCUCUGCUGUUGCUGCUGCUGCUGCUACUGCUGCUGCUGCUUGGCCCUGGCUGGAGACAUCUCACUACACCCAGGAGCAGCCACUUCCCCAGCUCUCCUCCUCCUUCGCCUCCUCCUCCUCCUCCACUCCCCCCCCCCCCUUUAUUACCCUUUGUGUCAUCCUCCACAGCUCCAGGGAAGGCACUCAAAAGUGGGGGGCAGAAAAGGUACUAGUUGGGCCAUGCUGAGAGACACUGCACCCAAACCUGUACCCAGUUCACAUCUGAGCUGCCACAGCCAUUCUCUCUUCUUUCUCCAGUUUGUAUCAAACUUUAUCUUUCUGUUUCAAGUAUAUAUUGAUAUUAUUUUUACCCCAGUUUCCUGUAAUAUUGUAUUUUGCAAAAUGUAGAUCCUGAACCACCAGCAUCAAUGUUGGCUGGGUGAUUUCAUAAAGUAUUGCCAGGAAAAAUUAUCAGUCAUGUUCAUAGUUGUUAGAACAUAAAAUCUAAUUCUAGCAAGCAUCUACCAUAGUGCCCAGCUCCUAAAGUAGCCACAAAAUAUCUGUUGAGUGAAUAGAUAAAAGAGAGGAAGGAUGUUAGAAGAAUUAAAAGAUCUACUUGUUUCUCUGUUUCCCAACUUGCAGUUGUUUAGGGAUUUUUUUUUUUAAUAUGGAAUAAGGGGCAUAAAAUAUUAGAAAAGAUUUAAGAAAUCAAUAAACAUGGACAUUGGUGAUCCUGUCA